GGGUCAGUAGGUUGGUCGUGCCACCGGUACGUACUGGUCUCACUGACUCCUCCUUCCUGAAGAACCGUAAUGCCAUUAAUUUGGUGUUGCGGGGAAACAGGACUGUUACUUUGAAAAAAUUAGAGUGUUUAGAGCAAGCUAACGCUUGAAUACAUUAGCAUGGAAUAAUGAAAUAGGACGAUCGAUCCUAUUUUGUUGGUUUCUAGGAUUGACGUA
rnacentral:rRNA from 1 species